AAAUGCAAUAUUUGGUUUUGGCUUGUGGUUGCCCUGUUUUUUAAGUAUGCUAACCCCUUCCCAUAAUUGUGUGUUUUAGCCUGAUGGUCCUGUAAGUUCAAACACUUCAUUAUUAUAUUAAAAUUAAGAAGAGAGACAUACAUACAAACAAAAAGGAUUAUUUACCUCCUAACAUCCCUUGCCCACAUUUUAUGGUUUUGAUGACUCUUUUAUUUUUUUCUUUUUAAUUUUAUUUUGUUUGAAGCAUGUUCAUGAUUAAAUCUGUAUGCUGGCUUAUUUGAGUGACUGCUCUCUGAUUGUAUCUUCCUCAGUCCUAGUUCUUCCUCUUCUUCUUCUUCUUUUUUUUUUUUCUUUUCUUUUUUCUUCCCUUUCCUUCCUUUCUUUUUGGUUUAGAGAAGCCCUUUCAAUAUUUCCUUUAACCUGGGUUUUGUGUUGCUGUAUUCUUUAAGUUUUUGUUUGUUGGGAAAAAUUUUUAUUUCCCUUCUAUUUUAAAUGAUAUUCUUGCUGGAUAAAGUAUUCUAGGUUGCAUAUUUUUUCCUUUGAGCACUUUAAAUAUCUCUUGCCAUUCCCUCCUGGCCUGUAGUGUUUCUGUAGAGAAAUCAGCUGAUAUUCUUAUGGGGGUUCCCUUGUAGGUAACAUUCUGUUUUUCUCUUGCUGCCUUGAGGAUCCUCUCUUUAUCACUAACUUUUGCCAUUUUUAUUAUGAUGUGUCUUGGUGUGGGUCUGUUUGGGUUCAGUUUGUUUGGGGCCCUCUGUGCUUCUUGUAUCUUGAAUCCAGUAUCCUUUAGAUUUGGGAAGUUUCCAGCAAUAAUUUCUUCAAAUAUAUUUUCCAUUCCCUUAUCUUUUUCUACUCCUUCUGGAAUUCCUAUUAUGCGUAGAUUGGCCCGUUUUAUAUUAUCCCAUAGGUCUCUUAUAUUGCUUUCCAGUUUUUUGAUUCGGUUUUCUGUCUGUUGACCAGAUUGAGUGAUUUCCAUUAUUCUAUCUUCCAUAUCACUGAUUCGUUCUUCUGCAUUAUUCAUUCUGGUUUUUACUGCCCCUAGUUCAGUUUGCAUCUCUGCAAAUGAAUGUUCUAGUUUUUCUUGGCUCCUCCUUAUAUUUUCUAGCUCCUUUCUGAGGGUAUCUGCAUUGCUGUUCAUAUCUUCUCUUAAUUCCUUCAGUAUUUUCACUAUUUCUCUUUUGAACUCCAUGUCUGUCAGACUGCAGAGAUCAGUUUCAUUGUUGACUGUUUUAGGUGAGUUCUCCUGUUGGUUUGACUGGGGGUGGUUUCUCAGCUUCUUCAUCUUGCUUGUUGUCUUCUUUCUCCUGAGGGAGUUGUACUCUCCGUUAUCGGGUAGUGUUUGCCUUGUCACUGCCCUGGAAUAUUUCCUGAGGGCUGUCGUUGUUGGUCAAUCUUUUUUUGAGGCAGUGUGGCUUUUCUGGAGUGUUGAUGGGGCUAACAGUGUUUCUUUGAAGCAAAGGAGGACUUCCUGAGGGCAGACAGGACUGGGAGGUCCACCCCACGAUGGUAGCAGAUUUCACUUGGUUCUCAGCACCCCCUGGGGUCUUGGGCGGGUAGCAGGGCCCUUGGAGACUCAAGAGGUUCCUCCCCAGGGCAGCCCGACUCAGAAAGACCGUCUGAGAUCUUUUCCCGAUUCCGCCAGGCUUGUUGCAGCUUUUCUGGGCUGCAGGGGGUCCUGCCUGGAGCUGGCAGUCCUAUGCAGCUGGUCCACUAGGUCUCAGCACCCCUUGGGGUCUUGGGCGGGUAGCAGGGCCUUUGGAGACUCAAGAGGCUCCUCCCCAGAACAGCCCGACUCAGAAAGACCGUCUGAGAUCUUUUCCCAAGUCGGCCAGGCUUGUUGCAGCUUUUCUGGGCUGCAGGGGGUCCUGCCUGGAGCUGGCAGUCCUAUGCAGCUGGUCCACUAGGUCUCAGCACCCCUUGGGGUCUUGGGCGGGUAGCAGGGCCCUUGGAGACUCAAGAGGCUCCUCCCCAGGGCAGCCCGAUUCAGAAAGACCGUUUGAGAUCUUUUCCCGAUUCGGCCAGGCUUGUUGCAGCUUUUCUGGGCUGCAGGGGGUCCUGCCUGGAGCUGGCAGUCCUAUGCAGCUGGUCCACUAGGUCUCAGCACCCCCUGGGGUCUUGGGCGGGUAGCAGGGCCCUUGGAGGCUCAAGAGGCUCCUCCCCAGGACAGCCCGACUCAGAAAGACCGUCUGAGAUCUUUUCCCGAUUCCGCCAGGCUUGUUGCAGCUUUUCUGGGCUGCAGGGGGUCCUGCCUGGAGCUGGCAGUCCUAUGCAGCUGGUCCACUAGGUCUCAGCACCCCUUGGGGUCUUGGGCGGGUAGCAGGGCCUUUGGAGACUCAAGAGGCUCCUCCCCAGAACAGCCCGACUCAGAAAGACCGUCUGAGAUCUUUUCCCAAGUCGGCCAGGCUUGUUGCAGCUUUUCUGGGCUGCAGGGGGUCCUGCCUGGAGCUGGCAGUCCUAUGCAGCUGGUCCACUAGGUCUCAGCACCCCUUGGGGUCUUGGGCGGGUAGCAGGGCCCUUGGAGACUCAAGAGGCUCCUCCCCAGGGCAGCCCGAUUCAGAAAGACCGUUUGAGAUCUUUUCCCGAUUCGGCCAGGCUUGUUGCAGCUUUUCUGGGCUGCAGGGGGUCCUGCCUGGAGCUGGCAGUCCUAUGCAGCUGGUCCACUAGGUCUCAGCACCCCCUGGGGUCUUGGGCGGGUAGCAGGGCCCUUGGAGGCUCAAGAGGCUCCUCCCCAGGACAGCCCGACUCAGAAAGACCGUCUGAGAUCUUUUCCCGAUUCCGCCAGGUUUGUUGCAGCUUUUCUGGGCUGCAGGGGGUCCUGCCUGGAGCUGGCAGUCCUAUGCAGCUGGUCCACUAGGUCUCAGCACCCCCUGGGGUCUUGGGCGGGUAGCAGGGCCCUUGGAGACUCAAGAGGCUCCUCCCCAGGACAGCCUGACUCAGAAAGACCGUCUGAGAUCUUUUCCCGAUUCCGCCAGGCUUGUUGCAGCUUUUCUGGGCUGCAGGGGGUCCUGCCUGGAGCUGGCAGUCCUAUGCAGCUGGUCCACUAGGUCUCAGCACCCCUUGGGUCUUGGGCGGGUAGCAGGGCCCUUGGAGACUCAAGAGGUUCCUCCCCAGGACAGCCCGACUCAGAGAGACCGUCUGAGAUCUUUUCCCAAUUCGGCCAGGCUUGUUGCAGCUUUUCUGGGCUGCAGGGGGUCCUGCCUGGAGCUGGCAGUCCUAUGCAGCUGGUCCACUAGGUCUUAGCACCCCCUGGGGUCUUGGGCGUGUAGCAAGGCCCUUGGAGACUCAAGAGGCUCCUCCCCGGGGGAGCCCGUCUCAGAAAAACCGUCGGAGAAUUAGGUCGAUCUAUUCACGGCCUGGCUAGGCUUGUUCUAGCUUUUCUGGGCUGCAGGCCUUUUCUAGGGGCCUGGUGGUGUUUGGUGCUGCUCUGUGGAAGUGUAGCCCCUCCAAAGGGCAAGCAGGCCUGUGCAGGGAGAGCCCCUGCGGUGGUAGGCUUCAGGCAAUUGUUGAGGCCAGCCCUCCUGGAUGGCAGGCAGCCCCAGGUUCGGCGAGAGCGUAGGGGGUGGCGGGGGUGGGGGGAGGGAAUGCACUGGGAAGCACAGCUUUCUGCUAGCUAGCGGGCCUGUAAGCUUGCUGUGGCGUGGGGGUAUUCUAUGGGGACCCACCCCUUCUUCUCUCCCCUCCCCAGCACGGGCGCAGACCAGGCUCUUCUCCCAGGUUCCCUCUGAGGCGGCUUUCCACUUCCCCGCCCCUAGAGUAUUGCUCCCUUCCUCUGCGACAGCUUUGUUUUCUAGUCUCCCAGGCAGUCUCUGCCCCGUCAAAUGGUUUAGAGACCUCCCAAGCAGUUUCCGCUCUUCCCCGCCCCCUAGCCCGGGGACUAAUCUCUGGAGCCGAGGUCUCGGUGCCCAGCCCCCACCCAGGCGGCGCCCCCCGGCCCUUUCUUGGGGACUAACCUUCGGAGGCGAGGUCUCUGUGCCCAGCCCCAACCCAGGCGUCCCCCGGCCCCCUCUCGGGGACCAACCUUCAGAGCUGAGGUCUCGGUGCCCAGCCCCCACCCAGGCGUCCCCCGGCCCUUUCCCGGGGACUAACCUCUGGAGCCGAGGAUUCGGUGCCCAGCCCCCACCCAGGCGUCUCAAUUUUUGGUGACUGUGCCCGUAGUUCAGAUGGUCCGUUGGGUUCUUGAUCGUUUUUCCGUACUCCGACUUACUGCUACACUCUUCUCUGCAUCUGGAGAUUCCUCCCGUUCGUUUGAUCUUUCCCCCGGUAGGAGACUUUCCAGGGUGCGGGAUCCCUUUCUCCUCCGCAGUUCCCUUUCGGGAGCGCCCGUCCCGCUCGGAUUCACCUUCUCUCACUCUCCUCUUUUCU
rnacentral:lncRNA from 1 species